rnacentral:rRNA from 1 species
GUAGUCUCGCACAGAUGCAUAUCAAUAAGCGGAGGAAAAGAAACUAACAAGGAUUCCCUUAGUAACGGCGAGUGAAGCGGGAAGAGCUCAAAUUUGAAAUCUUCAAGGUUUUACCUUGACGAAUUGUAGUUUAAAGAAGUGUUUUCUGUUGAAGUUUUGGUAAAAGUUCUUUGGAAUAGGACAUCAUAGAGGGUGAGAAUCCCGUAUUUGACCAUUAUUUUCAGCUGUGUGAUACACUUUCAAAGAGUCGGAUUGUUUGGGAAUGCAGUCCAAAAUGGGUGGUAAAUUUCAUCUAAAGCUAAAUAUUGGCGAGAGACCGAUAGCGAACAAGUACCGUGAGGGAAAGAUGAAAAGAACUUUGAAAAGAGAGCUAAACAGUACGUGAAAUUGUCAAAAGGGAAGCGUUUGACACCAGUGUUGUUUUCUCGAAAAUCAAUUAAAAAGAGUUUGAUUUUGUUGUGUAUUGACCUUAACAGCUUGCAUUUCAAUUUUCUUGCUUUUUUUAAUGCACUUUUCGUUUAACAAGUCAACAUCAGUUUCUUUUGUUGUAAAAAGGUCAUUGGAAGGUGGCUUUCUUUUCGGAGAAAGUGUUUAUAGCCUUUGACUCCUGCAAUCGGAGAGACUGAGGUCUGCAGCGUAGAUCCUUCGGGGUUAGAUACAUUUGUGCUAAGUUAUAGCUUUUUAUAGACAACUUGUUGACUACGAUUUGUCUUGUAGCUUACUCGCUUAUGUUAUUUUACCUACGCUUAGGAUGUUGAGCGCAUGUCUCUCUCU